AGAAGAAUGUGCAUGAGCACUAAAGCGUGCCUGUAAAUAGGUUAGCAUUGAAAUGAUUUGGCGAUUAAAUUUUAACAAUGGAGACCGAUGUAUGCAUAUGUGUUUCCCUUGAUAUAAGUUGGUGCCAUGGUAUUCGAGGUUGUUCUUGGUACAUUACUACAAGGCAAAUGAAGCCCCUUACCCCAGCAGGCCAACCUGGUACACUUGUGGGGAGUACUAGGCCCUGAAGGCAAAGGGGUAGCCUGUGGCUGAAGAAGAGCCAGGCAUUGAUGUGGACACAUCUCAAGGUGUCCUCAGACCUGGAGAGAGAGCCAUUCCAGACACACAACCUCGGCCAGGACAUCACCUCUCUGCUUAUGCUAGAGCAGGAAGGUGAUGUGAAGAUAUAUGGGUUCGUGGAAGAACCUUUGGAUGAUGAUAUAUAGGACGAGAGGAGGUGUCUGAUGCGGUGGUAGAGUAACAAACCAAAAAGGACAAUGCAAACGCAAAAAAUUUAUUACUUGUUCUAAAAUUAAAAACAAUUUAGUGACAUGUAAUUUUGUAUCCAUCAAAUAGAUGUUUUUAUUAUUAAAAUAGGUCUUAUCUAUGACUUUAUCUGUAAAUUGCAUCUAAUGAGUCUAUCAACGGUGAACAUGCAUCUCUAAUGAUGGAAUGAAUCGUCAAAACAUUACAAAUUUAAUAUCUAAACAUUUUAAA